rnacentral:rRNA from 1 species
GACAGAGGGUGCAAACGUUGUUCGGAAUUACUGGGCGUAAAGCGCGUGUAGGCGGCCCUGCAAGUCGGGUGUGAAAUCCCUCGGCUCAACCGAGGAAGUGCACUCGAAACUGCAGGGCUGGAGUCCCGGAGAGGGUAGUGGAAUUCUCGGUGUAGAGGUGAAAUUCGUAGAUAUCGAGAGGAACACCGGUGGCGAAGGCGGCUACCUGGACGGUGACUGACGCUGAGACGAGAAAGCGUGGGGAGCAAACAGG